UCUCGCACCGGCGCUGGGGUGCAGGCUUUCAGUGGUCUCAGGGCUACGGCUUGUCGGUGCCUCGCCGCACAGUCCCCUUUGCAUUGAAGGACAGGGUCUUACGGUGUAGGAGCAUUUUUGAGGUGCAUUCCUGGAUUUGGAGGCGAACCCCCAAUUGUUACCUCCACAGAGGCUUUGCGAAGGGCGCUCACUGGUGAAGAGCGAAGGCUCAAGACUGUGCCGCUUUAUAGUGGCCCCUUGACGUCCAGAAGUUCCCCCCAGCGCCGGUCAUAAGCACUCCCGCCGCCUGGGCCCCGCCCUGCCUGCCAGGCGCCCUCCAGCCUCAGCUCCCGGACGCCCGGCGUGGCCGCUUUCUCGCGUCUUGCUGACCCGGGCCGGGGGCGUGUGCUCCUCCUGCAGCGGACGGAAGAUGCUGGGCCACGCAAGUUUCCCUGGGCUUGGUUAACCACCCCAAAGCCCAUUUCCAGAAGGAAAGGGUGUUGAGGAGGAGGGAUAGAAAGUCGAGAAGAGGGCCGGAGAUGAGAUCUUGCUCUGUCACCCAGACUGGAGUGCAGUGGCACGAUCAUAGCUCACUGCACCUUCAAACUCCUGGACUCAAGUCAUCCUCUACCUCUGCCUCCCUGAGUAACUGGAACUACAGGUCAACACAGAUUCUCGGAAUUAAACACUUCCAUGUCCCAGAGGAUCAAAGUCACUUGCAAAAAUACCUCAAAAUGUGUUUGUCAAGAAAUUACACUUUCUCUUGAUUUUGUGGACCACUUUCUAAUUUCCAACCCAGACAAAAGCCUCCUAGUGAAGCUGGUCUUUCCU
rnacentral:antisense_RNA from 1 species